rnacentral:rRNA from 1 species
UGAGGCCCCAGGUCAGGUGGGAUUACCCGCUGAAUUUAAGCAUAUCA